AACAAUAAUUUAGGAGAAAUACUUGGAUGCAAAAUCAUUGCAUAAGAUGUAAUUGGGCCUCUCUAAUAUAAAUAGCAGCGAAUGAAAGAGUUUAUUUGCAGGACCAGAACACACAAGAACAUAAGAAGGGCGUUGGAAUAGAAAAGAAGUAAUCUCUUUGUUUUCAUGGCACUCACCAAGAGCACUACAACACGAUCGACGAUUGUGUGCUCAAUGGUUGUUGCUUUCGUGGUGCUUGCUAUUAUAUGUUCUACCAUGCCAUCCUGCCAUGCCCACACUGGUAUGUAAGAUAUCUCCUUAUUUCGAUAUGCAUUUUCCAAAUUCUUAAACUUGCUAAUGCUUUUGUACACCCCUUUUGAAAAGUUUACACGAAUGUUAGAAUUGAUUAGAAAAGGAUAUUCUCAUGCAUUCACGAUUAACAAAUUCUAACCACUAUCUCCACCAUAACAAAUUCUAACCACCAUCUCUUAAUCUCCAGCUUUGAUCUUCCUUUAAAUUUGCAACCUUUUCUAAGGUAGUUUACAAAAGCAAACCUCAAGUAACCUAUUGGUGUGCUUGUGUUGCAGGGUUGAAGGUCAAGGUCGGCGACCUGUAUGUCCACAAGCUGUCCCAUGGCUGUUCGCUGUGGGAUGUUGAUCGAGAGGUGAGGCCUCUUUGCCUGUUGAUCAGGUGCAGGGCCUCCCGGUUAUUCCUACUUUCUUGCAGUCAAAGGAUGGGGUUCAAUGAAACCAGAGCAAACUAAGGUGUAUAGUUAUUUCCCGUAAAAAAAAAGGUGUAUGGUUAUUUUAAUUCCCUGUUCUUUCUUUUAGAAAAACACUUUUACUUCGGUACAACCCCCUGAACACAUUAACGGAGGACAUCUUUCCAUACCCCUUUAUAAUAAAGGGUAGAAUGAUCUUUACGCAUCCACGCCCAUAUACAGCCUAUGUUAAUUUUUUUUUGAGAAUUAUACAGAUCAUGUG
rnacentral:lncRNA from 1 species